CCCCCCGGGGGGUCCCCAAAACCCCUCCCCUCUCCCUGCUGCUGCUGACCACGUUCUCCUCCGCUUCCUGUGACGUCACCCCCUCCAUUUUUGUUAUUUUACCGAUUCUGGUGAUUUUUCUCUGCCCCCCCCCGAGGGGUUUGGGUUCCCAAAUGUUGGUUUUAACCGGGGGGGCCCCUCCCCCCCCCACCGAGGGCUUGUUUUGGGGGUUUUUUGAGGACUCCGGCGUAUUGUAGGACGGAGCCGUCGUCGUCUUCAUCGUCGUCGUCGUCUUCAUCGUCAUCAUCCUCCUCCUCCUCCUGCCCCGGGGGGGCCCUGGCGCUGCCCCCCCCCAGCCGGCUGAACACCCCCGAGGGCUGGGGGGGGGAAGGGGGGGGCCGUCAGCGCCUUCAGGGGCUGCACUUUUCCUUUCUUUCCCUCUCCUUCCUCUUCCUCCCUCUCUUCUCCUUCCCUUUCCUUUCCUCUCCUUCCUUUUAUUUCCUCCCCUUCCCUUCCCUCUCCUUCCUCCUCUUCCUCUCUUUCCUCUCCUUCCAUUUCAUUUCCUCUCCUUCCUUUCCUCUCCCUUCCCUUCCUCUCCUUCCUUUUCCUCCCCUCCCUUUUCAUUUCCUCCCCUUCCCUUUCCUCUCUUUUCCUUCCCUUUCCUUCUCUCUCCUCUCCUUCCUUUUCCACUCCUCUCUUUCCUCUCCUUCCUUCCCUUUCCUCUCCUUCCUUUUCAUUUCCUCUCCUUCCUUUUCCUCUCCUUCCCUUCCUCUCCUUCCUUUUCAUUUCCUCUCCUUCCUUCCCUUCCUCUCCUUCCUUUUCCUCUCCUUCCCUUCCUCCUCUUCCCUCUCUUCCCCUUCCUUUGCUUUCCCUCUCCUUCCUUCCCUUCCUCUCCUUCCUCUCCUCCCCUUCCUUUUCCUCUCCUCUCUUUCUUCUCCUUCCUUUUCAUUUCCUCCCCUUCCCUUUCCUCUCCUCUUUCCUCUCCUCCUUUUUCAUUUCCUCUCCUCUCCUUCCUUUUCCUCUCCUCCCCUUCUUCUCCUCCCCCCUCCUCCCCUUCCUCUCCUUCCCUCCCCUCUCCUCUCCUCCCUCUCCUCUCCUUCCUUUUCCUCUCCUCUAUUUCCUCCCCUUCCUCUUCCUCUCCUUUCCCUUCCUCCCCUUCCCUUCCUCUCCUUCCUUUUCCUCUCUUCCCCUCUCCUCCUUUC
rnacentral:lncRNA from 1 species